rnacentral:lncRNA from 1 species
GGGAAUGGAAAAAAAAAAGAAACUGUCAUAGGGUAGAGACAGAAGCCACAUACCGGUGGGGAGCCUUUGCUGCUUGUGCUCCGCAGGACUUCAGGAUUUAAAUGGGCUGAGACGUAUGUCCUGUUCCUCUCCUUUCUAAAAAUGGAUCUGAGAACGCUGUCUGGGCUUGGUACCAAGAGCUGGUAUUUCACAGCAGCGACCGCCUCACAGACGAGCUGUGGGAAGCAGGAGGGAGACUCUCUCUUAGGGUGCCACUACUAUGGAGACACAGCUGGGCUGAACAAGAUUUGCUUCAAACGACAACAAGAGAGACAGAAAGUAUCUGGUUCAACCGCUGCCCGAGCAGGCAGGCACCAGAAGAGCUAGCAGCCAAUCCGGCCAUGCUCGAAGCCAGCUCUGCAGCUCAGCCAAUCAGUGACAUCAUUGCUUUCUUUAGCUUGCCCAUGGUGAUGUGAAGAUGAGAAGAAAUAGCAAGGCCCAACCAGUUCUUCAUCUGGAGACAGUUCAACGUUCUGCAAACCAGAUCUUCAGGAAUUUUACUGGGAUAAUUAUCCAAAUAAAUUGCAAGCAUUCUAUCCAAAUGGAGCUCUUUCUGAGAUGAAGAGAAUUCUCAAUGUCAAGAUUUGAACAAGAAGAGAAUGGAAUACACAAUAUGGACAUCCAUAAAAAUUCAUCAGAGAGCAUUUUACUACUGAGCUGCAAAGGUAGGAAAAAUAAAUUUUUUUUGGUUAGAAAAUAUACUUCUUUCAUCUGCGUUUCAAUAAUUUAUUCCCCUUGUUAGAUAUACAUGGAAUUGAUAUUGCUUAUUCUGACUAAGUGAAAAGUGUUAUUUCUACUUACUGCUCAAUUAGAAACAUGUAGUGUUUAAUUGUCAGUUUGAAUUUUUCUUUCAUACUAUUACAGUUUAUAUUUUACUAUAGGCAGAAUUUCCUCUUUAUCCUAAAUUUUGAUAUUCUCCAUAAUUUCAUCGUGCCUUGACAUUGCUGUAUAUAAUUUCUAUACAUCAGGAAGGCAAUUCUGUGUGCAUGUGUGUGUGUAUAUAUAUAGUUAGAAGUUAGAAACUGAAACUCUUUUUUGUCUACCAUCAUUUCAUAUUUUUCUUGCUAUUUCAAACCUAUAAUUUUUAAAGAAACGACUAACGUAAUCAUUCAUAGAAUAUGCUGUCAGUAACUUAACAAUAUAAAUGUUAACAUGGAGGCAUUUAGUUCAGCAUUUGCUUUACUUAAUAGAGUGCAGAAAAUGUGGCCCUUUUCUCAGUUAGGGUGUAUGUGAAGAUAAAUUUAGAAUUUCUAGACUAGUAAAUACUUCUCUGAUAAUAACUUAAUUAUAGCUAUUUCAAACCAAAUUGUUUAAUUGUGGUGAAUCAUAUGUAAAUUGUUCAGAUGUAGGUCAACACCCACGCCCACAUUCUAGCACCUCUUUCCUAAUUCAAGACAACUUUGCAGUGCCUAAAAGAGCUGAACAGUGCAGAUUAGAGACAUAAGACAAAAAAAAAAAAAAAA